rnacentral:rRNA from 1 species
CCUGGCGGCACUAGCGCGGUGGUCCCACCUGACCCCAUGCCGAACUCAGAAGUGAAACGCCGUAGCGCCGAUGGUAGUGUGGGGUCUCCCCAUGUGAGAUAG